CCUACGGGCGGCAGCAGUAGGGAAUAUUGCACAAUGGGGGAAACCCUGAUGCAGCGACGCCGCGUGAGUGAAGAAGUAUCUCGGUACGUAAAGCUCUAUCAGCAGGGAAGAAAAUGACGGUACCUGACUAAGAAGCCCCGGCUAACUACGUGCCAGCAGCCGCGGGAAUACGUAGGGGGCAAGCGUUAUCCGGAUUGACUGGGUGUAAAGGGAGCGUAGACGGCAGCACAAGUCUGGAGGGAAAUCCCGGGGCUUAACCCCGGAACUGCUUUGGAAACUGUGCGGCUUGAGUGCAGGAGGGGUAAGCGGAAGUCCAAGUGUAGCGGUGAAAUGCGUAGAUAUAAGGAGGAACACCGGUGGUGAAGGCGGCUUACUGGACUGUAACUGACGUUGAGGCUCGAAAGCGUGGGGAGCAAACAGGAUUAGAUACCCCAGUAGUC
rnacentral:rRNA from 1 species